rnacentral:rRNA from 1 species
GUCUACAGCCAUGCCACCCUGAAUAAGCCCAAUCCCGUCUGAUCUUGGAAGCUAAGCAGGGCCGGGCUUGGUUAGUACUUGAAUGGGAGAUCAUCUAGAAAGACCAGGUGCUGUAAGCA